UAGUCCACGCCGUAAACGAUGGGUACUAGGUGUUGGUCUGCUUUUGGUGGAUCGGUGCCGAAGCUAACGCAUUAAGUACCCCGCCUGGGGAGUACGAUCGCAAGGUUGAAACUCAAAGGAAUUGACGGGGGCCCGCACAAGCGGUGGAGCAUGUGGUUUAAUUCGAUGCAACGCGAAGAACCUUACCUGGGCUUGAAGUGUAACAGCAAUCUGUUGAAAGACAGAGUUCCUUCGGGACUGUUACAGAGGUGCUGCAUGGCUGUCGUCAGCUCGUGCCGUGAGGUGUUGGGUUAAGUCCCGCAACGAGCGCAACCCUUAUUCUUAGUUGCCAUCAGGUCAAGCUGGGCACUCUAGGAAGACUGCCCCGGAUAACGGGGAGAAGGUGGGGAUGACGUCAAGUCCUCAUGGCCCUUACGUCCAGGGCUACACACGUGCUACAAUGGCCAGUACAGCGGGAAGCAAGACCGCGAGGUGGAGCAAAUCCCUUAAAACUGGUCUCAGUUCGGAUUGC
rnacentral:rRNA from 1 species